UACGUAGGGUGCAAGCGUUGUCCGGAAUUAUUGGGCGUAAAGAGCUCGUAGGCGGCUUGUCGCGUCGGCUGUGAAAACUCGGGGCUCAACCCCGAGCCUGCAGUCGAUACGGGCAGGCUGGAGUCCGGCAGGGGAGACUGGAAUUCCUGGUGUAGCGGUGAAAUGCGCAGAUAUCAGGAGGAACACCGGUGGCGAAGGCGGGUCUCUGGGCCGUAACUGACGCUGAGGAGCGAAAGCAUGGGGAGCGAACAGG
rnacentral:rRNA from 1 species